rnacentral:rRNA from 1 species
UACGUAGGGGGCGAGAGUUGUCCGGAUUUACUGGGCGUAAAGCGCGCGUAGGGGGUUUUGGAAGUCCUGGCGUGAAAGGUCGCGGCCCAACUGCGACAGUGCGGAGGAUACUCCAAGGCUUGAGGGCAGCAGAGGUCGGUGGAAUUCCCGGUGGAGUGGUGAAAUGCGUAGAUAUCGGAAGGAACGCCGGUGGCGAAAGCGACGUGCUGGACCUUUUCUGACGCUGAGGCGCGAAAGCCAGGGGAGCAAACGGG